rnacentral:lncRNA from 1 species
AAAGAGGAUCUGCACGACCAAGUUUUUCAUACCAUGGUGUUUCUGAGGAUUGCUAAAUGCAUGGAUUUGACUUAACUGAGGAAAUUUUCUAAUGUGUGUAUAGCCAUUCUGGCUUCUUUGCCGAAUUAAACACAAGUUUGCUGUGUCACACUUUUUUCUUUAGUUGUGUUUAAUGUGAUUUGCCUUUAUCAGUUGGAAAAUGAAAAGCGU